AGGAAGGCAAGAAUCCAACGCUUCAAACCGUGUACGAUUUGGAGCUGAAACGAGGAAGAUAUGGCCUUCGGAAGACAACUGCUCCAGGUGUGCGAAUGGUGUGCGAAAUUCGCACACCCCCUUAGCUGUGCGAAUGGUGUGCGAAACUCGCACACCCCCCUCAGGUGUGAGAAAAUUCACACACCCCAUGCGUGGUGCGAAUUUUCCUCUGUUUUUGCCGACUCCACUUUAGAUAUUUUCUUUUGUAUUUUUUGAUGUAAUUUCCUUUCUUCUCCUUGUAACAAGCCAAUCACAAGCUUUGCUUUUGUAAAAACUAUAUAAGAGGUGGAAAUCACCUCUUGGAGAUAUCACGCGUGUUAUGUUUUACACUUAGAAAAAUAUACAGAGCUCUCUCGUUUUCCCUUUUCUCUUUACUAUUUUCUUUUUCUUGGAAGCCAAACAACCUCUGAGGAUGUUUUCUCAGAGGAUGAGAGGCUAAACUUUUGGUUUCUUGGAGUGAUGGAAGCUAGGUGAAAAGUCCAGAUGAAAGGUGGAAAACGCUCGUGCCUUAAAUACAGGUAGUUGAAGUUCAUAAAUGGCUUUUAAAUCCAAAGUUUUGCUUUAAAUCCCUUAGAAUUACUUUGAAUGGCCAAUACAUGGUAAGCUUCAGGUCUCUAUGGAUGCUUAUUGCUAGAUCCAUAUCAGUCCAUUAGUUAUCAUGUACGAGCCAUUGGAAAGUGGUUCAAGCUGAAGGCCCAUAGUGUCUAUAGCCAUUAAUGGACCUUGACUACCAUUUCUAUUGAUUUUUAUGGAUUAAAUCUUCAUUGUUAAACCUAUACCGGUUCGGGAAAUAACUAUAGGUUAAAUCCCCAAUGGGAGGAGAAAAAUCCAGAAUUUUCCACUUUGCAUUCUAAACUUGAUCCUAGCAAUCCUGAGCUCCGGGAGACUUUCUUUCUUCCAUUUUUAAUUAGUUUAUGUUAAUUUAGUUUCAAACACUUUCAAAACAAAUUUUAUUUUCUUUUAAACUCUAAGUUUUUGAUAAAGGGAAUCAUUAAAUUCAAUUCCUAAUCAUGAGUAUAUCAUUGGUAGAAUGAAAACCCAUCCCAGAGUUCGACCUUAGAGCCACUAUACUAUAGUAUCUUUGCUACACUAGUAUGAGGUCAUAGGUUUUAUAAAUGUUUUUUAUUAAAUGACCCGACUGGAUUUACAUCCGCGAAUCAAAAUGGCGCCGUUGCCGGGGAUGGUGCCACGAUACAGUGAUACAACCUUUUAGAGGGUACUUGUGAUUUUCAUCACAAGUUUGGUGAAUUCCUUUUUCACUAACUUUAUUUCCUUUUUUUUAUUGUAGAAUUUCUUUUGUUUUCUUUCUAACUUUAACUUUCUUCUAGUUUUCUUUUGUUUUUGUUGUCUUUGUUUUGUUUUCAGGCAAGUAGUGAUUUGUGCAUGCCCUAUUGGAUUCGGGACCAAGAGGGAAGAUUAGUAAGGAUUGAGAAUCCUCAAGACACAGAGUUGGAUAUCUGUGUAAACAUCAUGGACCCUCCACAAGAGGAUCAGAAUUCUCAACAAGGUCAAGGGGGUAAUCCAAAUGCAUAUCUAUCCAUGAGGGAUAGAAUGCACCCACCAAGGAUGAGUGCACCCUCAUGCAUCAUACCUCCUCUUGAGCAGCUGAUUAUAAGGCCCCAUAUUGUGCCCCUUCUACCAAAUUUCCAUGGAAUGGAGAGUGAGAAUCCAUAUGCCCACAUCAAGGAGUUUGAGGAGGUGUGCAAUACCUUUAGAGAGGGAGGAGCUUCAAUAGACUUGAUGAGACUCAAGCUAUUCCCUUUCACUUUGAAGGACAAGGCAAAAAUAUGGCUUAAUUAUUUAAGGCCAAGGAGCAUAAGGAAUUGGGUUGAUCUUCAGGUCGAGUUUUUGAAGAAAUUUUUCCCCACCCAUAGGACCAAUGGGUUGAAGAGACAAAUCUCAAACUUUUCUGCAAAAGAAAAUGAGAAGUUCCAUGAAUGUUGGGAAAGGUAUAUGGAGGCCAUCAAUGCUUAUCCUCAUCAUGGCUUUGAUACAUGGCUCUUGGUGAGCUAUUUCUAUGAUGGGAUGUCUUCCUCCAUGAAGCAAAUUCUUGAAACCAUGUGUGGGGGAGAUUUUAUGAGUAAGAAUCCGGAAGAAGCCAUGGAUUUUUUAAGUUAUGUAUCUGAGGUAACAAGAGGAUGGGAUGAGCCCAACUCAAAGGAAUUGGGAAGGAUGAAAGCUCCUGUAAAUCCAANNNNNNNNNNNNNNNNNNNNNNNNNNNNNNNNNNNNNNNNNNNNNNNNNNNNNNNNNNNNNNNNNNNNNNNNNNNNNNNNNNNNNNNNNNNNNNNNNNNNGAUGGGAUGAGCCCACUCAAAGGAAUUGGGAAGGAUGAAAGCUCCUGUAAAUCCAAAGGGUGGAAUGUACAUGUUAAGUGAAGACAUGGACAUGAAAGCUAAGGUGGCAACAAUAGCAAGGAGGUUGGAAGAACUUGAGUUGAAAAAGAUGUAUGAAGUCCAAGCCAUUUUCGAGACUCAAGCCCAUGCCAUGCCAUGCACCAUUUGCCAAUCAUGUGAUCAUGUGGUAGAUGAGUGCCCAACCAUGCCAGCUGUGAGGGAGAUGUUAGGUGAUCAAGCCAAUGUUGUGGGGCAAUUUAGGCCUAACAACAAUGCACCUUAUGGAAACACCUAUAAUUCAAGCUGGAGAAACCAUCCAAAUUUUUCUUGGAAACCAAGACCACCUCCAUACCAACCGCAAGCCCAAACUCAAGCACCUCAACAAACCUCUUCAGUGGAGCAAGCCAUUGCGAACCUAAGUAAAGUCAUGAAUGACUUUGUGGGUGAACAAAGGGCAAUCAACUCCCAAUUGCACCAAAAGAUUGAGAAUGUUGAGAGUUCUCUAAAUAAGAGAAUGGAUGGGAUGCAAAAUGAUCUAUAUCAGAAGAUAGAUAAUAUUCAAUACUCCAUCUCUAGGCUUACCAACCUCAACACAGUGAAUGAGAAAAGAAAGUUCCCCUCUCAACCAAGCCAACAUCCUAAGGGUGUUCAUGAAGUUGAAACCCAAGAGGGGGAUUCUUCAAAGUUGAGGGAGGUCAAAGCUGUGAUCACCUUGAGGAGUGGAAAGGAGGUUGAUCAACCCUUGCCUAAGGUGAGGCAAGAUGAAGAACUCUUGUCAAAGAAAACCUUGGUUAAAGAGAGCAAUAACCAAGAAGAGGAGAGUGGGAAGAAAAGUGCAUCCAAAUCAAGCAUUGAAGAAGAGCCGAGGAUAGUGAUUAAAGAAGAUAUGAUGAAGAAACAUAUGCCUCCCCCUUUUCCUCAAGCUUUACAUGGAAAGAAGGAAAUCAAGAAUUCAUCAGAAAUUCUUGAAGUCUUGAGACAAGUGAAGGUGAAUAUACCCUUACUUGAUAUGAUCAAGCAAGUCCCCACAUAUGCAAAGUUUCUAAAGGACUUGUGCACGGUUAAGAGAGGGCUACAUGUGAUAAAUAAUGCAUUCCUCACUGAGCAAGUAAGUGCUAUCAUUCAGAGUAAGUCUCCAGUUAAGUAUAAAGAUCCGGGUUGCCCCACCAUUGCAGUCAACAUUGGAGGGACACUUGUGGAGAAAGCUUUACUAGACUUGGGGGCAAGUGUGAAUUUGCUCCCAUACUCUGUGUACAAGCAACUGGGACUUGGAGGAUUGAAGCCCACAACCAUCACUCUCUCCUUAGCUGAUAGGUCUGUCAAAAUCCCAAGGGGGGUGAUAGAGGAUGUUCUAGUUCAAGUGGACAAAUUCUACUAUCCCGUGGAUUUUGUUGUGCUUGAUACUGAUCCCACUGUUAAGGAAGCCAAUUACGUGCCAAUCAUCCUUGGGAGACCUUUCCUGGCUACCUCCAAUGCCAUCAUCAAUUGUAGAAAUGGGGUGAUGCAACUCAUAUUUGGAAACAUGACCUUGGAAUUAAACAUAUUCCAUCUUUGCAAGAGGCAUCUUCACCCAGAUGAGGAUGAAGGAUUGGAGGAGGUGUGCCUGAUCAACACCUUGGUUGAAGAGCAUUGUGACAAGAAUUUAGAAGAGAACCUGAAUGAAAGCCUUGAAGUGCUUGAAGAAGGGUUACCUGAACCCUCUGAUGUGCUAACCAUCAUGUCUCCUUGGAGGAGAAAGGAAGAGAUCUUACCCUUGUUCAAUGAGGAGGACUCAAAAGGAGCAGCUAGGGAGGACCCUCCAAAGCUAGUUUUGAAGCCACUUCCUGUUGAUUUAAAUGCAAACUUCAUAUGGGAUCCGGGCAAGCUAAAUCCGGAUCCAAUUUUUUGAUGGACUUAGUCUUUCUAAAGACUAGCUAGUCCAUAUCUUUUUGUUUUAUUUUUAAACUUUAUUUGAUUUUGAUUUCUUGCUUUAAUUUUAUUUUGGUUUGAUUGAACUUAGGUUUUUUGAUGAUCUUGCUAUGAGGGCUGUUUUCGGACAAAGAGUCUUGCUUUAUGACUCUAAGCUUCAUCUUUUUCCGGGAAAAUUGAAAUCAAGGUGGACGAGUCCUUUCAUAAUUCAUGAAGUGCAACCAAAUGGAGUAGUGGAACUACUCAACUUCAAUAGCACUCGAACUUUCAAAGUUAAUGGGCAUCGUCUCAAGCCCUAUAUCGAAUCUUUUUCCCGAGACAAGGAGGAAUUCAUCCUCCUUGAUCCACCUCCAACAUGAAAACACUUGGUUCAUGGUUGAACUUAGUCUCUCCAAAGACUAAAAAGUUCAUCCUCUUUUUGUUCUCUUUUAAGUUGAUUUUAGUUUAAUCUAAUGUUUUCUUGUGUUUAUGCAUGUUUUGAUUUCUAUUUUUGACUUUAAUUUCAUUCUAAUGUGGUUUGAUUUCUAUUUUUUGUGUUAACAUGUAGGUAGGAAGGCUUGAAGAAUGAAGUCUUGGUGAAAACAAGGGAAAACAGGGGAGAAAAGACAAGACUCAGCAAAAUUCGCACACCCCCUUGUGGUGUGCGAAAAUUUCGCACACCACUUACCCUGUGCGAAUUUGCUUUUGCACCACUUUUCAAAAAUUGCAUGCUCUCGGUCCCUUGUGUGAAUUUCACAGGAAUGUGAACCUUGUGCGAACCCUGUGCGAGUUCAUUUUUUGCGCCAAUUUUCAAAACCAUGCUCUCUGUCUUGGAGAAUCACAGGUAUGCGAAAAUUUCGCACACCAUUUUCCCCUGUGCGAAAUUCAUUUUUCUCUUUAAAAGCUAUGUUCUCCACUUCAAAGUCUUAGCUUCUUCUUCAAUUUUCUCAAAACCUCUCUUCCGAUCACCCAUUUCCAUCCAUAAAGCCCCUCUUCUUCAUCAUUCCUCAUCAUCAACACCACCAUGGCAGCCCAUCUCCAUAGCUCCAUUCCAUAGCCACGCAUUCACUAUUCACCACUUCCCAUUUUCGGUAAUUUCACCUCCUUCCACCAUCAAAAUCCUUUCCAAUCUUCACCCAACCCUCUAAAUCCAUCCACAAUCCAAUCCCAAACCUUGUUCUUACCAAACCAAAGCCUAAACCAUAAGCAUUCAAGCCAUGGUUUCUUCAUAAGAAACCCAUUGCCGCCGGCCAUGGGAGCUCCCNNNNNNNNNNNNNNNNNNNNNNNNNNNNNNNNNNNNNNNNNNNNNNNNNNNNNNNNNNNNNNNNNNNNNNNNNNNNNNNNNNNNNNNNNNNNNNNNNNNNCCCCCCCCCCUUGUGCAAAAUUUCAGCUUUUCCAUCCCUACCUUCCCUAAUCCCAAACCUCUGAGCCUCAUUUCAUCGCUUCAUCAUGCCUAAGACCCGAUGAGGAUCUACCACAGCUCCCCAGAGCAGUCAGAGAGCCGCCCUUGUGCGGGCCCCACUAGAUGCACCCUCACAUUUACCUGAUUCUGCCCCUCAGAGAAGAUACCAUACGAGGAGAGCAUCUGCUACGUCUGUGGCCCCUCCACAAAUUCCACCUCGGAGUCCUCCUACAAAGAAAGCCAAGACUUCAGAGCCAAGAGAGUCCUCCAGAGCACCUCGGCAUUCACAGUCUCAGCCUUCUUCCGCCAGGCGCCCUAGACCCAGCUUGCCCAUUGAGGGCAACUCCGAUUUCCGAUCGAGAGACUUUCAUGUUGAGGCAUAUUUCGAUCACUCUCUUAUGCGACAGCAGCCUGAGUUGCGGGAUUCAUACCGCCUACUUGAGAGACCCUCGUUCAGAGCCCCGCCGCCAUUGUCGAGAGAGAUUCUCUCUUGACCAAUGGACUCAGAUAUGGCUCCAUCGCCAGUCCCCAGAACUUCCCGAGCCAAGGGAAGUCCCUCCUGCUCCGUCCACUUCAGACCCUCCACAGCCAGUACCGGAGGCAGCAUCAUCUGAUGCCCCACCUGUUGUUCCUCCUACAUCAGAGCCGCCCAUUACUAUCCCUGGUCCAGAGUAUCGUGCCUUGCUCGCUUCUUUCCAGACUUUGACCACUACUCAGAUGACCAUUAUGGAGCGGAUGGACCACUUCCAGCUUCAGCAGGACCAGCAGACUCUCAUUCUCCGUGAGAUUCAACACCACCUUGGUCUUUCACCACCAGCUCCACCUGUAACGGUUCCUUCCAUAGUUGCAGCGGAGGACCCCUCCUAUCCACCAGAGGAGCCUACUACUUGAUCAUACGAUCACUCCUCUCCCUUUUUUGUAUCUAUAUGCUACGUUUUUGGAUGUCUUAUAUAUUUUGGACCACUUUUAUACUGGGAGUGGAUGUAUUUCAUGUUUAUCUUGUAUAUUGUACUCUCUCAGUUUAUAUAGACAUCUUCUUUUUUAUGUAUUUUAGCUAUUCCAUUUUAUUUCCUCUAUUCAUCAAUCUUAUGAUUUUUCUUUUCUUAUGCAACAUGUGGUUUCUCCUGUUCAUUCAGACUCCCUUACUAUCAGGAGGUAUCACUUCCUCCCUUUUAUUAUCUAUUGCUUUUGGAACAUUGGGGACAAUGUUCAUCCUAGUUGGGGGGAGAGUUGAGGAAGUAAUUUGUUGAAUUUUUGGUUAAGUUAUUUUGCUAACAAAUUUUUUUGCAAACUCUCUUUGUUUUCUCAAAGAUAAAUUCUCAAAAGUAAAUGGGAGAAAUUAAAUUCUUAUCUUAUUGCCAUAGUCUCAGAGUUUGUAUUAUGCUUAUUAAAGUUGAUAAAUUGUUGAAGAUCCUUUUGAUUUCAAUCUUAAGUCUUCCACUCUAAUCUUUUCACACACUGAACAUAUUAGAUUCCAGUUNNNNNNNNNNNNNNNNNNNNNNNNNNNNNNNNNNNNNNNNNNNNNNNNNNNNNNNNNNNNNNNNNNNNNNNNNNNNNNNNNNNNNNNNNNNNNNNNNNNNAUAGUUUGACAUACUAUAACUGGAAACUAAGCACCUUAACACUUAGAUUUUUGUGGAAGAUUAAGAAUUGAUCCGUUGGGAGUGGAAAUUAUUUUGAUACUCAAAUUUGCAUAAUGCCCGCUCUUUGCAAGUUGUGAUAGGUAAGUUAUUUGAUAACUCUUGUUGAUGAUUGAGUUUUAUAUCCUUGACUUGCCAUGUGAGAGUUUGAUCCAAUUAUGCCACUUGAUUAUUUUUUGGAGUGAUCAGCAUGAUUUUGUAAAUUAUUUUAUUUUCUAUUUUUCUUUCUUUUUCUCUCCUUCAUUGCUCAGGGACUAGCAAUGUGUCAGUUGGGGGGAGUGAUUACUACCCAAAAAGUGCUAUUUUACACCUUUAAGUCAUUAUGUUUUAAGCACUUUUGUGUAGUAAUUCUUCAUCUUUAUUCCAAUUGGCGUGUUAAGGACCUAGCAAUGACUCCUAAUCAUAUUUGUGGCUAUUUUUAGUGUUUUUGACAUCUUUUUAGAUCAUUAAGACAAGCCAUCCAAAGGAGAAAACCAAAGAGAAGCAAAGAGAAGCAAGGAGGAAAACAGAGGACAGCAGCUGCAGUCUUCUUUGGCACUUUUGGAGCACUUCCCGAAGUCCAUUUUUUACAUGCUAUAUACCAUUUCAAAGCUCAGGAAGUCAAGAAUCUAACGCUUCAAACCGUGUACGAUUUGGAGCUGAAACGAGGAAGAUAUGGCCUUUGGAAGACAACUGCUCCAGGUGUGCGAAUGGUAUGCGAAUGGUGUGCGAAAUUCGCACACCCCCUUAGCUGUGCGAAUGGUGUGCGAAACUCGCACACCCCCCUCAGGUGUGCGAAAAUUCGCACACCCCAUGCGUGGUGCGAAUUUUCCUCUGUUUUUGCCGACUCCACUUUAGAUAUUUUCUUUUGUAUUUUUUG
rnacentral:lncRNA from 1 species